rnacentral:misc_RNA from 1 species
AUAGGAGUGAGCCUGCUCGCGAUGGCGUCAGUUCAGUCGGCAUCCUCUUUGACUGUCAUACCGCUAUCGCGAGCAGGCUCACUCCUAC